UUAGAUGUCCGGGGCCGCACGCGCGCCACACUGAAGGAAUCAGCGUGUGCUUUCCCUGUCCGGUAGGACUGGGUAACCCGUUGAACCUCCUUCGUGAUAGGGAUAGGGGCUUGUAACUGUUCCCCUUGAACGAGGAAUGCCCAGUAAGCGCGAGUCAUAAGCUCGUGUUGAUUACGUCCCUGCCCUUUGUACACACCGCCCGUCGCUACUACCGAUUGAAUGAUUUAGUGAGGUCUUCGGACUGGCGCUCGGAGCGGCCUCGGGCCGGGCCGUUGUGCCGGAAAGAUGACCGAACUUGAUCAUUUAGAGGAAGUAAAAGUCGUAACAAGGUUUCC
rnacentral:rRNA from 1 species